rnacentral:rRNA from 1 species
AUUGAACGCUGGCGGCAGGCCUAACACAUGCAAGUCGAGCGAGCGGCAGACGGGUGAGUAAUGUAGGUGGCCUGCCAGAUAGAGGGGGAUAACCUUGGGAAACGGUGGCUAAUAGCGCAUACUAACGUAUCACCCAUAUGGGAUUGUCUAGUAGGGGGGGACAAGGCUCACCUGCGCGACGAUCUCUAGCUGGUCUGAGAGGAUGAUCAUCCACACUGGGACUGAGACACGGCCCAGACUCCUACGGAGGCGUCAGUGGUGAAUAUUGCACAAUGGGCGCAAGCCUGAUGCAGCCAUGCCGCGUGUAUGAAGGAGGCCUUAGGGUUGUAAAGUACUUUCAGCGGGGAGGCGUUACCCGCAGAAGAAGCACCGGCUAACUCCGUGCCAGCAGCCGCGGGAAUAC